rnacentral:rRNA from 1 species
UACGAAGGGGGCUAGCGUUGUUCGGAAUUACUGGGCGUAAAGCGCGCGUAGGCGGACCUGCAAGUCGGGGGUGAAAGCCCGAGGCUCAACCUCGGAACUGCCUUCGAUACUGCGGGUCUCGAGUCCGGGAGAGGUGAGUGGAAUUCCUAGUGUAGAGGUGAAAUUCGUAGAUAUUAGGAAGAACACCAGUGGCGAAGGCGGGUCUCUGGGCCGUAACUGACGCUGAGGAGCGAAAGCGUGGGGAGCAAACAGG